CGCUAUGUAUGAUUGAAAUAGACUGAAUUCACGUUAGUAGUGAAACUCGUCAUAUCCGAAUGAGGACAGAAUACAGUAAGCAGAAUUCAUGAACCGAAUCGAGGUAUCACUGUGACGCUAUGUAUGAUUGAAAUAGGCUGAAUUCACGUUAGUAGUGAAACUCGCCAUAUCCGAAUGAGGGCCGAAUACAAUAAGCAGAAUACAUGAACCGAAUCGUUGGAUCACUGUGACGCUAUGUAUGAUUGAAAUAGGCUGAAUUCACGUUAGUAGUGAAACUCGCCAUAUCCGAAUGAGGGCUGAAUACAGUAAGCAGAAUACAUGAACCGAAUCGAGGUAUCACUGUGACGCUAUGUAUGAUUGAAAUAGACUGAAUUCACGUUAGUAGUGAAACUCGUCAUAUCCGAAUGAGGACAGAAUACAGUAAGCAGAAUACAUGAACCGAAUCGAGGUAUCACUGUGACGCUAUGUAUGAUUGAAAUAGGCUGAAUUCACGUUAGUAGUGAAACUCGCCAUAUCUGAAUGAGGGCUGAAUACAGUAAGCAGAAUACAUGAACUGAAUCGAGGUAUCACUGUGACGCUAUGUAUGAUUGAAAUAGGCUGAAUUCACGUUAGUAGUGAAACUCGCCAUACUCGCCAUAUUUGAAUGAGGGCAGAAUACAGUAAGCAGAAUACAUGAACCGAAUCGAGGUAUCACUGUGAUGCUAUGUAUGAUUGAAAUAGGCUGAAUUCACGUUAGUAGUGAAACUCCCCAUAUCCGAAUGAGGGCAGAAUACAUGAACCGAAUUGAGGUAUCACUGUGACGCUAUGUAUGAUUGAAAUAGACUGAAUUCACGUUAGUAGUGAAACUUGUCAUAUCCGAAUGAGGACAGAAUACAGUAAGCAGAAUACAUGAACUGAAUCGAGGUAUCACUGUGACGCUAUGUAUGAUUGAAAUAGGCUGAAUUCACGUUAGUAGUGAAACUCGCCAUAUCCGAAUGAGGACAGAAUACAGUAAGCAGAAUACAUGAACUGAAUCGAGGUAUCACUGUGACACUAUGUAUGAUUGAAAUAGGCUGAAUUCACGUUAGUAGUGAAACUCGACAUAUCCGAAUGAGGGCAGAAUACAUAAUCCACAUUGCUGCACUUUAUUCGUUUUUUUAUUUAAAAGCAUAUUGCUACAUGUUAUUUUAGAA